GAUGAACGCUGACAGAAUGCUUAACACAUGCAAGUCGACCUGAAUUUGGGUUUUUAACUUCGGUUUGGGUGGCGGACGGGUGAGUAACGCGUAAAGAACUUGCCUCCCAGCUAGGGACAACAUUUGGAAACGAAUGCUAAUACCUAAUAUUAUGAUAAUAGGGCAUCCUAUAAUUAUGAAAGCUAUAAGCGCUGUGAGAGAGCUUUGCGUCCCAUUAGCUAGUUGGUGAGGUAACGGCUCACCAAGGCGAUGAUGGGUAGCCGGCCUGAGAGGGUGAUCGGCCACAAGGGGACUGAGACACGGCCCGUACUCCUACGGGAGGCAGCGGUGGGGAAUAUUGGACAAUGGACCGAGAGUCUGAUCCAGCAAUUCUGUGUGCACGAUGAAGUUUUUCGGAAUGUAAAGUGCUUUCAGUUGAGAAGAAACAAAUGACGGUACCAACAGAAGAAGUGACGGCUAAAUACGUG
rnacentral:rRNA from 1 species